UACGUAGGGUGCAAGCGUUAAUCGGAAUUACUGGGCGUAAAGCGUGCGCAGGCGGUUGUGUAAGUCUGACGUGAAAUCCCCGGGCUUAACCUGGGAAUGGCGUUGGAGACUGCACGGCUAGAGUGUGUCAGAGGGAGGUAGAAUUCCACGUGUAGCAGUGAAAUGCGUAGAUAUGUGGAGGAAUACCGAUGGCGAAGGCAGCCUCCUGGGAUAACACUGACGCUCAUGCACGAAAGCGUGGGUAGCAAACAGG
rnacentral:rRNA from 1 species